AAUUUCUGGGGGUCAUGUCCUGUUUAAAUUACUCUGUUACUGCUCUGGCCUUUGCCAUGUCAGGUGCGCUUGCAUGGCAGGUCUCUAUCCUUAAUAAAAUUGGGUUUUUUGGGAUGUGAGGGGGAGAUAGCACGGGAUUUUUUUAUUUUUUUUUGGCCCGGGAUCUCUCUCCUCUUGCGGUGUGUGUGUUUUAUGAUUCUCUAUGUCUUGUGUGCUUAAAUUGAUCGUCAGACCUACUGCAAAAAGCAACGUCUCAACGAGCUAUCCUUAAUUGGCCACCCACAUCAGGUACACCGUGGUUAGCAUCUUUUCUGCUUGAAUUUUGCAAUUGAUUAUAAUGCGCGUUAGAGACAGCAAAAAACCGAGAUAGCUAUUUUUUAUAGCAUAGCAACAAUUAUUCUAAAUACAUUGUCAACGGAAGCAACCUAAUUGGGGUUAUAACAUAAGCUGAUAGUUUGUGCAGUCAGCUCCAUAGAUGUGAGGAAUGUGAUCUUUCAAGUUUCGAACAUGAAUUUCAUCACAGUGGUAACUCUGAAACUAGUAAGCCAAUUAGUAUCUUUCUGUAGAAACUUGCUUGUGAUGAAAUCCAUGUGAACUCUUCAUCUAGUCCGCCAAGCAAACCUCGCGGACCUCAGGUAUGCAUCAUAGGCUCGUAAUUAUGAUUUGCUUGGAUUCACAAUAAAUGAUGCAUGGGCAACACACGAAAUAUCGGAUCACUUUGUAGCAAUAGAAAAUGUUUUCAACUCAAUACUUCCAGAAUUUGAUGAAAUAAGUUAUUAUUCUAUGAAUGCGGAUGUUUACAUGAGUUUUAUUGCAGCAGAUAUUUGCUCGAUUAAUCCAAGCUGGUAUCGUACCGGAUCUUUCAUAUUUAAGUUUUCCUUCUGCUGAUGUCCAUUAUCUGUCUCUGUAUGAGAGUCAGCUAUUACUACUCUUUAUUUCACGAUUAGACUAUAAGAAGCGCUAGUGACUGUGCGAUGAAUCAUGGAAAAUUUCAAAUAUUAGUUGAAGGUGAACGGUUUAAAUUUGAGUACAAACCAAAAUUGCUUUGCGAAUCUGGUAUUGUGGUGGUAUGGUAUUUGAUUAUUCAACUUGGAACACAAACUGUUCCAGCCGAUACAUGUGAAGGACUUUGGCGUUGGUAUAAUAUUUGAAGGGGAAAUCAGAAGGAUGUAAAUUAAAGAACAAUUUAACUAUGGUGAUUUUUCCUAAUAUCUGGAAAGGACUCUGAGGGAUUAUGUUAUCAAAUCAAAUUAAUCGAGGUUUUCUGUCCUAUUAUCGCAGAUGUGCUUUAGCAUCAGAUGAUGUUUGAUGUAUGAUGCUUGGUUUUUAUUAUGGUUGCAAACACGUUCUUUCUGUAGGCCUUGAUCAAUGAUAGUUCAAGGCUACAGGGUAUAUAUUAGUGUGCAUCGGGGACAGAUCUUGUAGACUUAAUAGGGAGAAAGUACAAGAUAGAAGGUCUGUUUCUCGUGUAGCGAAGUGCUGGAACUUCCUCCUAAAGAAGAGCUGCUGGUAUGCAGAAUUAGGGGUGAACAUCGGUCAAUUCAUCUUAUUGAGUGCAAGCAUUUCUUCGGCUGGUGAACAGAUUGCUCAUAUGAUUUGAGUCUUGAAAGUUUGGAGUUUCGACUGCAAAGAUCCUUGUACUUCUUUCAGGAUUUUCAGGAUUCUCGAGCAAGGCAGUCUGGAUAUCACAGAAUAUUGUUCCAGUAGCUGAGACAAACAGCUCAAUGUCACCGGCUACUGAGAAAUUUUGAAGAAAUAGAAUUAAGGCCCGCCGUGUAGCCAGUAACAGCAUCGAGGGAAACAGGAUAAGGAACAAAGAUCCCUGAUAGUAGUCCAUUCAACACAUAAAUAUCAACUAGCAUGCGAGGAAACCCUUAGAAGAUUGUACAACUGUUCGCUGAGAUAUUGACUUGUAAAGGAUACAAGAGGUUCACUGUGAUGCAGAAUGUCGACUUUCCUCUUCCUAUACAAAGGCGGUGAGAAUGAGCAGGCAAUCUGGCAAAAGGAAAUAAUGAAACAGAUCAUUGAUCUUGAACUAUUCACCCAGGAAAAGACUUCAAGGCCAACGUAGGCAUCUAUUUUGGACCUUGUUCAGAAAUCUGAGAAACUAAAGGAGAUGAUCUACAGGGCCCAAAGGGAAGCCGAGGGAGUGCGGGUGUCCAUCCAUCAUUUAAAAUCGUAUAUGUUUGUGUAUGUUUUGUGUGUUUUUUUCCAUAGAGAAUCGGCCAGAACAAAUUUGUAUGGUUCUUCUAGUGUCCGUGUACUAAAACUGGACUUGUAAUGUUCCGCACAUUUUAUAUUAUGUUAGUAUAUGUGGACAGUUUUGUUCCCCAUUUUAAUAAAGAUUUUGUUAAUUUA